rnacentral:rRNA from 1 species
AACCUGCCCGAAAGACCGGGACAACGUUCCGAAAGGGGCGCUAAUACCGGAUGUGGCCACUGGGGUGAUGCCCUGGUGAUUAAAACCCUGCAAGGGGGCUUUUGGAGGGGCCUGCGGCCUAUCAACUAGUUGGAGGGGUAACGGCCCACCAAGGCGACGACGGGUAGCUGGUCUGAGAGGAUGGUCAGCCGGACUGGGACUGAGAUACGGCCCAGACUCCUACGGGGGGCAGCAAUUAGGAAUCUUGCGCAAUGGGCGAAAGCCUGACGCAGCGACGUCGCGUGGAG